rnacentral:rRNA from 1 species
GGAUUGCCCUAGUAACGGCGAGUGAAGCGGCAACAGCUCAAAUUUGAAAUCUGGCUCUUUCAGAGUCCGAGUUGUAAUUUGCAGAGGGCGCUUUGGCGUUGGCAGCGGUCCAAGUUCUUUGGAACAGGACGUCACAGAGGGUGAGAAUCCCGUACGUGGUCGCUAGCCUUCGCCGUGUAAAGCCCCUUCGACGAGUCGAGUUGUUUGGGAAUGCAGCUCUAAAUGGGAGGUAAAUUUCUUCUAAAGCUAAAUACUGGCCAGAGACCGAUAGCGCACAAGUAGAGUGAUCGAAAGAUGAAAAGCACUUUGGAAAGAGAGUCAAAUAGCACGUGAAAUUGUUGAAAGGGAAGCGCUUGCAGCCAGACUUGCCUGUAGUUGCUUAUCUGGACUUUUGUCCGGUGCACUCUUCUGCGGGCAGGCCAGCAUCAGUUUGGGCGGUUGGAUAAAGGUCUCUGUCAUGUACCUCCUUUCGGGGAGGCCUUAUAGGGGAGACGACAUGCAACCAGCCUGGACUGAGGUCCGCGCAUCUGCUAGGAUGCUGGCGUAAUGGCUGUAAGCGGCCCGUCUUGAAACACGGACCAAGGAGUCUAACAUCUAUGCGAGUGUUUGGGUGUCAAGCCCAGACGCGUAAUGAAAGUGAACGGAGGUGGGAACCCUUUGGGUGCACCAUCGACCGAUCCUGAUGUCUUCGGAUGGAUUUGAGUAAGAGCAUGGCUGUUGGGACCCGAAAGAUGGUGAACUAUGCUUGAAUAGGGUGAAGCCAGAGGAAACUCUGGUGGAGGCUCGCAGCGGUUCUGACGUGCAAAUCGAUCGUC